GACGAACGCUGGCGGCGUGCUCAACACAUGCAAGUCGAACGGAAAGGCCCCAGCUUGGUGGGGUGCACGAGUGGCGAACGGGUGAGUAACACGUGGGUGACCUGCCCUGCACUUUGGGAUAACUCCGGGAAACUGGGUCUAAUACCGGAUAGGACCUCCCCCUGCGGGGUGGGUGGUAAGUUGUUCGGUGUGGGAUGGACCCGCGGCCUGUCAGCUUGUUGGUGGGGUGAUGGCCUACCAAGGCGGGGACGGGUAGCCGGCCUGAGAGGGUGGACGGCCACAUUGGGACUGAGAUACGGCCCAGACUCCUACGGGAGGCAGCAGUGGGGAAUAUUGCACAAUGGGCGGAAGCCUGAUGCAGCGACGCCGCGUGGGGGAUGACGGCCUUCGGGUUGUAAACGCCUUUCGCCAUCGACGAAGGGUGAGUGACGGUAGAUGGAGAAGAAGCACCGGCUAACUACGUG
rnacentral:rRNA from 1 species